GAUACCCUACUAUACUAAAGAGUAAAGAGAGUGAACCAGAUUAUUAAUAGAUAUGUUCUUUAAAUUUAAAGAAUUUGGCGGUGAUUUAGUCUUGUCAGAGGAACCUGUUUUUGAAUCGACAAUCCACGUGGGAUCUUACUUGUCUUUGUUUUCAGUUUAUAUACCGUCAUUAACAGACAAUUUUUAAAGAAUAAAUUGUUAAAAUUUAUAAUGUUAAAGAAAAUUAGAUCAAGGUGUAGCUUAUGGACAAGUUAAAAUGGGUUACAAUAAAUUAUAUUUAUGAACGGAAUAAUUAAGGAAGAAGUAAUUAAUAAGGAGGAUUUGAUUGUAAUAUAAGUUUAAUAUGCUUAAGAGAGAUAAGCUCUAAAUCAUGUACAU
rnacentral:rRNA from 1 species